GCCGGGCGUGGUGGCGCAUACCUGUAAUCCCAGCGGCUAGGGAGACUGAGGCAGGAGGAUCGUGAGUUCAAAGCCAACCUCAGCAACUUGGCAAGGCACUUAGCAACUCAGUGAGACCCUGUCUAUA
rnacentral:sRNA from 1 species